rnacentral:tRNA from 1 species
GAAGGUAUAGCUCAAGUGGUAGAGCGCAUGCUCAGCAUGAUUGAGGUCCUGGGUUCAAUCCCCAGUACUUCCU